GCUUAAUACAUGCAAGUCGAGCGGACAAAUGGGAGCUUGCUCCCUGAUGUUUGCGGCGGAGGGGUGAGUAACACGUGGGUAACCUGCCUGUAACAGUGGGAUACCUCCGGGAAAGCGGGGCUAAUACCGGAUGGUUGUUUGAACCGCGGGGUUCGAACAUAAAAGGUGGCUUCGGCUACCACUUACAGAUGGACCCGCGGCGCAUUAUCUAGUUGGUGAGGUAACGGCUCACCAAGGCAACCAUGCCUAACCGACCUGACAGGGUGAUCGGCCCCGCUGGGACUGACACACGCCCCAGACUCCUACGGGAGGCAACAAUAGGGAAUCUUCCGCAAUGGACAAAAGUCUGACCGACCAGCGCCACGAGAGUGAUGAAGGUUUUCGGAUCUUAAAGCUCUGUUGAUAGGAAAGAACAAGUACCGUUCGAAUAGGGCGGUACCUUGACGGUACCUAACCCCAAAGCCACGGCUAAGUACCUGCCAUCAUCCGGAGUAAUACGUAGGUGGCAAGUGUUGUCCGGAUUUAUUGGGCGGAAAGGGCUCUCAGGCGGUUUCUUACGUCUGAUGUGAGAGCCCCCGGCUCAACCGGGGAGGGUCGUUGGAAAGUGGUUAACUUGAUUGCAGAGAAGGGCAGUGAAAUUCCGCGUGUAGCGGUGAAAUGCGGA
rnacentral:rRNA from 1 species